rnacentral:rRNA from 1 species
CAGUAGCCACGGUAAUACGAAGGGGGCUAGCGUUGUUCGGAUUUACUGGGCGUAAAGGGCGCGUAGGCGGACUGAUAAGUCAGGGGUGAAAUCCCAAGGCUCAACCUUGGAACUGCCUUUGAUACUGUUUGUCUUGAGUUCGAGAGAGGUAAGUGGAACUGCGAGUGUAGAGGUGAAAUUCGUAGAUAUUCGCAAGAACACCAGUGGCGAAGGCAGCUUACUGGCUCGAAACUGACGCUGAGGCGCGAAAGCGUGGGGAGCAAACAGGAUUAGAUACCCCCGUAGUCCCUGUCUCUUAUAC